CCCCUCUUAGGAUGGCAGGUGGAGAGUUUCCAGUACUCUACUAGUUUCGGCUUUGGGAGGAAGAGUCAAGCAGAGGCCUACCCAUUCCAUUCCUAGCUUGGCCAGUGGCUAGCGAGUGGAAGGCCAUCUGCUACAAGU